rnacentral:rRNA from 1 species
UACGGAGGAUCCAAGCGUUAUCCGGAGUCAUUGGGUUAAAGGGUCCGUAAGUGGACGGUUAAGUCAGAGGUGAAAUCCUGCAGCUCAACUGUAGAAUUGCCUUUGAUACUGGUCGUCUUGAGCCAUUGUGAAGUGGUUGGAAUAUGUAGUGUAGCGGUGAAAUGCAUAGAUAUUACAUAGAACACCAAUUGCGAAGGCAGAUCACUAACAAUGUACUGACACUGAUGGACGAAAGCGUGGGGAGCGAACAGGAUUAGAUACCCUGGUAGUCCACGCCGUAAACGAUGGUCACUAGCUGUCCGGACCUUGUGUCUGGGUGGCUAAGCGAAAGUGAUAAGUGACCCACCUGGGGAGUACGUUCGCAAGAAUGAAACUCAAAGGAAUUGACGGGGGCCCGCACAAGCGGUGGAGCAUGUGGUUUAAUUCGAUGAUACGCGAGGAACCUUACCAGGGCUUAAAUGUAGUGGGACAGGUCUAGAGAUAGGCCCUUCUUCGGACUCAUUACAAGGUGCUGCAUGGUUGUCGUCAGCUCGUGCCGUGAGGUGUCAGGUUAAGUCCUAUAACGAGCGCAACCCCUGUUGUUAGUUGCCAGCGAGUGAAGUCGGGAACUCUAACAAGACUGCCGGUGCAAACCGUGAGGAAGGUGGGGAUGACGUCAAAUCAUCACGGCCCUUACGUCCUGGGCUACACACGUGCUACAAUGGCCGGUACAGAGAGCAGCCACCCCGCGAGGUGGAGCGAAUCUACAAAACCGGUCACAGUUCGGAUCGGAGUCUGCAACUCGACUCCGUGAAACUGGAAUCGCUAGUAAUCGCAUAUCAGCCAUGAUGCGGUGAAUACGUUCCCGGGCCU